GAUGAACGCUGGCGGUAUGCUUAACACAUGCAAGUCGAACGGUCACUUCGGUGAUAGUGGCGGACGGGUGAGUAACGCGUGAGAAUCUGUCUUCAGGUCGGGGACAACAGUUAGAAAUGACUGCUAAUACCGGAUGUGCCUUUGGAUGAAAGAUUUAUUGCCUGAAAAAGAGCUCGCGUCAGAUUAGCUAGUAGGUGGUGUAAGAGACUACCUAGGCUCCGAUCUGUAGCUGGUCUGAGAGGACGAUCAGCCACACUGGAACUGAGACACGGUCCAGACUCCUACGGGAGGCAGCAGUGGGGAAUUUUCCGCAAUGGGCGAAAGCCUGACGGAGCAAUACCGCGUGAGGGACGAAGGCUUUUGGGUCGUAAACCUCUUUUCUCAAGGAAGAUGAUGACGGUACUUGAGGAAUAAGCAUCGGCUAACUCUGUG
rnacentral:rRNA from 1 species